rnacentral:rRNA from 1 species
GAUGAACGCUGGCGGCGUGCCUAAUACAUGCAAGUCGAGCGAACGGACGCGAAGCUUGCUUCUCUGAUGUUAGCGGCGGACGGGUGAGUAACACGUGGAUAACCUACCUAUAAGACUGGGAUAACUUCGGGAAACCGGAGAUAAUACCGGAUAAUAUUUUGAACCGCAUGGUUCAAAAGUGAAAGACGGUCUUGCUGUCACUUAUAGAUGGAUCCGCGCUGCAUUAGCUAGUUGGUAAGGUAACGGCUUACCAAGGCAACGAUGCAUAGCCGACCUGAGAGGGGGAUCGGCGACACUGGAACUGAGACACGGUCCAUAGUCCUACGGGAGGCACCAGUAGGGAAUCUUCCGCAAAGGGCGAAAGCCUGACGGAGCAACGCCGCGUGAGUGAUGAAGGUCUUCGGAUCGUAAAACUCUGUUAUUAGGGAAGAACAGAUGUGUAAGUAAAUGUGCACAGCUUGACGGUACCUGAUCAGAAAGCCACGGCUAACUACGUG